GGAAGGCGAAGGAACCUAAAGGGAAGGCGCAGACAGCUAAAGGGAAGGCAAAGGCAGCAGGGAAAAAGAAGAAGAAGGAAGUUUUAGUGCUACAUGAUAGUCCGGCAACGGGUACUAGAAGCAAGACCACACCCCAGAAGGACAGCCAUGCCUCACAAACUAGAAGCAAAAGAAAGCACUGAAGCUUAUACAUGUCAUACAGGGGCAAUAACUGUCUACAAUGGCAUAGAAGGGAUGGCACUACAAAUAUUUCAUCCAUGUCAUACAGGGGCAAUAACGUCUUUUUCACCUAAUUUAACAGUCAAUCUAACAGCUGACUCACGGAAUGGCACUGAGGGGAUUGGAGUAAAAUUUCAGUGGCAAUGAAGGGAUGGCCUAAAUUUUGAUGGCA